CUUGCAACUUUGAGACGGAAGUUUAUUUCCGGUUCCGGUUGUCCGUCGCCAUGUUCACUUUGUUUCCGUUUCCUGUCAAUGGCUUGGUCAAUGGCCGCUAUAGUCAGUGAUGCCAGGCGUACGGAUUUAUCCGUGCCGCGCGGACAUUCCCUAUACCGACACGGACCGCGUACGGACAAAAACCUUAUGGGGAAAAACGCUUCCCUAUCUUAAAAUAUCCGUACGCGUGACGUCACAGAAUGACGCUCAGCCAAUAGCAGCACGGAGAGCGGUAGAGCGUACGGAUCUCGCACACGGAGCACCCGGGAACACUGGCUAUAGUUUCUUGAACAACUGUUGUUGUUGAUAACGAGCCAUGUGGUCACGCAGACGUGCCGUAGUUUAGAUUGCAAGGUUUGUGGAUUUUCUUUUAAUUCUGUGCGUUUUUUUCACUCUAAUUUCUGGGAAAUUUGAGUCUGGCAAGGAAUUUGAAGUCUGUGGAUGGGGAUUCCGCGUCGCAAUGGCCGGAGACACCGAUAAUAUCUGCCUCAACAUCGGAGCACGCACACUAGAUCCAGAGGUCUCAAAAUAUUUUCAAAGGCCCUCCGAAUCCAAAGGGACAGGUGCUUCGAAGACAACCAGAGUUAGUGCGAAGAGCGAUAUCAAGCGCAAAGUUAACCCUGCUGUGAAGAAAGUUAACUCAGCCUUAAUUCAAAGGAGUUCAAAUGUGAAACCUAAGUUCGUGAAACCAGCAGAUGAGUCUCACAAAGAGAAGCAUCUCCUCUCUGCUGGAUCUAACAAGCCGAAGAAAGGAGAAACUAAUUCUGGAAAUGAAAUUGGGCAGGGUUCAAAGAAAGUUUCUACUAACACUUAUGGGCCUACUUCAUCCCUCUUCCGGAAAAAUCCAGAAGUCCCUCAGGUGGAGAACAAAUCCAUCAAACCGAAAAAUGAAGCCGUAUUUUCCUCGAAGUUUUUCAAGGAUGUUGCUGAAUUGCACCCUCAUACAGUAAGUUGUGGUUCUUUCCACCAACUUUUUUUUAUAAAGGAAGCCACCUCAUUGCCUUGCAUUUUUCGAAGAAUUUACCCUUGGUUGUGACCGUUA
rnacentral:lncRNA from 1 species